rnacentral:rRNA from 1 species
ACCAGACUCCUACGGGAGGCAGCAGUGGGGCCUCUUGGGCAAUGGGCGCCCGCCUGACCCAGCCCCGCCGCGUGCCGGCAGAAGGCUUUCGGGUUGUAAACUUCUUUUCUCAGGGACGCAGCAAGUGACGGUCCCUGAGGAAUACGCCACGGCUAACUACGUGCCAGCAGCCGCGGUAAUACGUAGGUGGCAAGCGUUGUCCGGAUUUACUGGGUGUAAAGGGCGUGUAGCCGGGCUGACAAGUCAGAUGUGAAAUCCGGGGGCUCAACCCCCGAACUGCAUUUGAAACUGUUGGUCUUGAGUAUCGGAGAGGCAGGCGGAAUUCCUAGUGUAGCGGUGAAAUGCGUAGAUAUUAGGAGGAACACCAGUGGCGAAGGCGGCCUGCUGGACGACAACUGACGGUGAGGCGCGAAAGCGUGGGGAGCAAACAGGAUUAGAUACCCGAGUA